rnacentral:tRNA from 1 species
AUUCUAAUUGUUUAUAAAAAACACUGGUCUUUUAAACCAAAGACUGAAAAUCCCACCUCUUCUUAGAGUU